AUCUUUAAAAAAAAAGGCAACACAUAGACUAAAAUUGGAACGAUACAGAGAAGAUUAGCAUGGCCCCUGUGCAAGCAUGACACGCAAAUUCGUGAAGUGUUCCAUAUUUUU